UGGCCUACGGGAGGCAGCAGUGGGGAAUAUUGGGCAAUGGGGCAACCCUGACCCAGCGACGCCGUGUGAGGGAAGAAGGUUUUCGGAUCGUAAACCUCUGUCAGGAGGGAAGAAGUGCAUAUCAAGUAAUAUGUGGUAUGUUUGACGGUACCUCCAAAGGAAGCACCGGCUAACUCCGUGCCAGCAGCCGCGGUA
rnacentral:rRNA from 1 species